GAAGAACGCUGGCGGCGUGCUUAACACAUGCAAGUCGAACGAAAAGGCCUGCUUUCCCUUGUGGAUUGCGGGUACUCGAGUGGCGAACGGGUGAGUAACACGUGAGUGAUCUGCCCCCAACUUGGGUAUAAGCCUGGGAAACUGGGUCUAAUUCCCGAUAGGACUGCAGGGUGGUGCCUGUGGUGGAAAACGAUUUUCUAGUGGUUGGGGAUGAGCUCGCGGCCUAUCAGCUUGUUGGUGGGGUAAUGGCCUACCAAGGCGGCGACGGGUAGCCGGCCUGGGAGGGUGGACGGCCACAUUGGGACUGAGAUACGGCCCAGACUCCUACGGGAGGCAGCAGUGGGGAAUAUUGCACAAUGGGCGGAAGCCUGAUGCAGCGACGCCGCGUGGGGGAUGACGGCCUUCGGGUUGUAAACUCCUUUCGACCGCGAGGAAGCCACCUGGUUGGAAGGGUGGUGACGGUAGUGGUAGAAGAAGCACCGGCUAACUACGUG
rnacentral:rRNA from 1 species